rnacentral:rRNA from 1 species
UACGAAGGGGGCUAGCGUUGCUCGGAAUCACUGGGCGUAAAGCGCACGUAGGUGGAUCGCUAAGUCAGGGGUGAAAUCCUGGAGCUCAACUCCAGAACUGCCUUUGAUACUGGCAAUCUCGAGUCCGGGAGAGGUGAGUGGAACUGCGAGUGUAGAGGUGAAAUUCGUAGAUAUUCGCAAGAACACCAGUGGCGAAGGCGGCUCACUGGCCCGGUACUGACGCUGAGGCACGAAAGCGUGGGGAGCAAACAGG